rnacentral:tRNA from 2 species
CGGGCCAUAGCUCAGCUGGGAGAGCGCCUGCUUUGCACGCAGGAGGUCAGGAGUUCGAUCCUCCUUGGCUCCACCA